rnacentral:rRNA from 1 species
CCUACGGGGUGCAGCAGUGAGGAAUAUUGGUCAAUGGGCGCGAGCCUGAACCAGCCAAGUCGCGUGAGGGAAGACGGCCCUACGGGUUGUAAACCUCUUUUGCCGGGGAGCAACGGGCGCCACGUGUGGCGCCACUGAGAGUACCCGGAGAAAAAGCAUCGGCUAACUCCGUGCCAGCAGCCGCGGUAAUACGGAGGAUGCGAGCGUGAUCCGGAUGUAUUGGGUUAAAAGGGUGCGUAGGCGGAGCGUUAAGUCAGUGGUCAAAUUGAGGGGCUCAACCCCUUCCCGCCAUUGAAACUGGCUGUCUUGAGUGGAAGAGAGGUAUGCGGAAUGCGUGGUGUAGCGGUGAAAUGCAUAGAUAUCACGCAGAACCCCGAUUGCGAAGGCAGCAUGCCGGCUUCCGACUGACGCUGAAGCACGAAAGCGUGGGGAUCGAACAGGAUUAGAUACCCCAGUAGUC